rnacentral:rRNA from 1 species
GAUGAACGCUAGCUACAGGCUUAACACAUGCAAGUCGCGGGGCAGCAUGGGGAUUGCUUGCACUCCCCGAUGGCGACCGGCGCACGGGUGAGUAACGCGUAUUCAACCUGCCCUUCACCACGGGAUAACCCGGCGAAAGUCGGACUAAUACCGUAUGUUGUCCAUUGACGGCAUCCGAUUUGGACGAAAGGCUUGGCGGUGAGGGAUGGGGAUGCGUCCGAUUAGCCAGACGGCGGGGUAACGGCCCACCGUGGCUACGAUCGGUAGGGGUUCUGAGAGGAAGGUCCCCCACACUGGAACUGAGACACGGUCCAGACUCCUACGGGAGGCAGCAGUGAGGAAUAUUGGUCAAUGGGCGUAAGCCUGAACCAGCCAAGUAGCGUGCAGGAUGACGGCCCUAUGGGUUGUAAACUGCUUUUAUGCGGGGAUAAAGUGGCCCACGUGUGGGCUUUUGCAGGUACCGCAUGAAUAAGGACCGGCUAAUUCCGUG